rnacentral:lncRNA from 1 species
GGUGCCACACCUUGACUCUCAGCUAGAACUAUAGAUAAAGUUAGUUUUAGUGUUCACACAAAUGUAAUUCGGUUUAUGCUGUGUCAAUUACAGUACAGUCUGGGGUCUGGUUAAGGCUUUAGCAUAUUUUAUCAGGGAUUGCAUUGAUCAAUAUAUGUGGCUGCUGGAUGUUAGAAUAUUAGAAUACUUCAAAGUUGUGUGACAAUACAGUAUAUUUAUCUUCCUUUUUGUGAUCUUUUAGCCCUGUCAUACAGUAGGUGUGGAAGAAUACAGUAUAAAAGGCACUUAAUUCCACUUUCCAUUCCCUGCUUUGAGGCAGAUAACAACGGCAAAGGUGUGCUUGGAGGACCUUUUUCUUCAAGAAAAGAAGUUCAGAUGGCCCAACAGGCAAGAACAUCGAAUACUGUAUCUAAGAUAUGUGCAGUAGUAGG